GCAAGACUCAAGCAAGGAUGUCGCUGGCUGUGGAAGCCCCCAGCUAGCAAACUGAACAAGAAAAAUCCUGCAUCAUUUCUAGGGGCUCAUCCAGGAUUGUCAGAGGGAUUCUUCUGUUUAUACUAAGAGUGAUAAAAUUCCACCAAGAUGCAUAUUUGUUUUUGGAUAUCAAGUUACUUCAGGCUCUCCUAUUCCCUCAUACCCUGAC